rnacentral:lncRNA from 1 species
UUAAACAAAUCUCAUCUCAAAUUAAUAUUAUUAAAACCACAAAUCAUCUUAAUAGUUACACUUUACAAAAAUUACUUCGGUCUACCAGAAAAACUAGACGAGACCCGAAGCUCAGAAAAUUUACAACUGAUACAUCUGCUAAUUACUACUGCGGAGAAUCUAAGAUUUACCAAUUUACAUACCAAAUCAGAUACGUCACCCGAUGAUGAAGGAGUCGGGUUACUGAAUAAGAGUCGCGAGAGAACUAACAGUCACGAAUCUGAAAAACAAUAAAUGGAGACUGUCAGUCUCGAGAGUGAGUUAAAAUCAAAUAAUCUAGGGACUAUUGCUUCUUCUCAAAAAACAUAGAUUAUUCAAAUCAGUAUAUCAAACCAUACUGUAAUCGUACCCUACUAUUUCCUUCACAUAAAAUAUUAAUCAUUCGAAUCAAAAUAUCAACCAUGCACGUAAAUACAAAUCACAUUAUAAUCAAAUACCAUAAUAAAUAAAUAAAUAAAAAUAUAUAUUUACUUUUACGGAACGAGUGGCUCGGUAGAACCCUAAACCCCAAAUUCUAGUAGCCUUUCGGCUCUCUUAAUCCAACAGGUCUGGCACCCAGAGAGCAAGCUUGAUCAGGGUCCUUACCUCCAGCCUGAACACUUGAAUUCCAAAUAAGCCGGCGCCCAGAGAGCAAGCUCGAUCAGGGACCUUAACUCCGGCAAUCAACUGAACUCAGCCCAGAGAGCAAUGCUCGAUCAGGGCAAACAAAUCCAUAAUAACCUUAUGUCCAUGUUCAUUACCGGUGCGCACGCGGUCCUGAUGUAACCCAUCAGGCGGCAUGUUCUACAAGCCACGUUUCCCAAGACAUAAUCAUCCAUUUAAUAAAUAUCAUUGUAUAAUGAAGUCAUUCAACCAUAUCAAAUUAAUGAUUAACAAUUAAGAGUAAAACAUCAGGCAGCUCAGGUGGAAAACUGAUGAUAUUUGGAAUUAUUAUAACAUUACUAUAAUAAUACUUAUAUUACCUUUAAUAAUUAGUAAUUCAGUGAAAUUAUUUACGUUGCGAAACUAAUAACCAUAUUAAGCAUGAACUUUCAAAAUAGCAUAUUAAAAUCAAACUUAGCAAUAGCGCAAUGAUUAGAUGACUUUAACUCACAGGAUUGGCGACCUCCUAGCUCUGCUCCGGUGCCUCGGUAGGAGCGAGCCGAACGAACUGACAAUCUAGUCACGGAAAACAAUUUAUCAAUACGCUGAGACAAUCCAUCAUUAAUCCUAGGUCUAGACUCCUAGGACUGACUGUCUAAGAAUCUAGACUCGGGAACUACCGAAAAUUCGGCAGAACCUCCCCUACAACACGAACAUUACCCCCCGUAAAAAC